AAGGUAGCAUAAUCAUUAGUUUUUUAAUUGAAAGCUGGAAUGAAAGGUUGGAUGAGAAAAUAUCUGUCUCUAUUUAAAUUUAUUAGAAUUUUAUUUUUAAGUUAAAAAGCUUAAAUAUUUAUUGAAGACGAGAAGACCCUAUAGAGUUUUAUAAAAUAUUUUUAUUGUAUAUUUUAGUAUUAUAAAAAUUAAUAAAAAUUUUUAUUUGGUUGGGGUGAUUGAAAAAUUUAUAUAACUUUUUUUUAAUUUAAACAUUAAUUUAUGAUUAAUUGAUCCUUUUAUAAAGAUUAUAAGAUUAAAUUAC
rnacentral:rRNA from 1 species